GUACAUAAUUUUAGAUAUAUUCAUUUUUUAUACUUAAUGGUAAAUUACAUUUAAGUCCUCCUUUGUACGCCCUUUCAAAACGGCCUCUGCUACCCUAACGUAACUCGCCUAAUCUUCUAGAUGGUCUGCACCUUGAUCUGUAAUACUAGUUUGCUUACUAUAAGAUAAUAUAUUAUAUAUUAUCUGCUGACGACGGCAUACAAAAUAUUACAUGAAGUAGAUUACCUUGGUGGUUAUCAAUUACUUGGUAAGUUCCCCUAAAUUUUAAAAUUACCGCCAUGCUAUUUGAGUUUGGGCCAUGUUGGCCUUAGUACUCAGUGGUUUUAUUGUGGGUAUUGUAUAAAAGGGUAUCUAAUCCUUGUUUAUGGGCAAUAUUUAUAUUAUUUCUGCUUUAUGGAGUCUAUAAAUAUUAUUUCACCAAUAUUUAUAUAAAAGCUUUAUUCCGCACUUUUCUACCAUUCAUUACUAUAGAAGUCUGACCGCGACUGCUGGCACUUUUUAAGUCAUAGUAUGUAUAAUUGGUUUAAUCUUACUUCCGUAAAUUUAUAAAUUUGCUUGCCUGGUUUACCCUAAUAGUACCAUUAGUAUCCUAUUUUAUAUGAACGUUUCACCAU
rnacentral:rRNA from 1 species